rnacentral:rRNA from 1 species
UACGUAGGGAGCAAGCGUUGUCCGGAAUCAUUGGGCGUAAAGCGCGCGUAGGCGGCCCCGUAAGUCCGCUGUGAAAGUCAGAGGCUCAACCUUUGAAAGCCGGUGGAUACUGUGGGGCUAGAGUACGGAAGAGGCGAGUGGAAUUCCUGGUGUAGCGGUGGAAUGCGCAGAUAUCAGGAGGAACACCAAUAGCGAAGGCAGCUCGCUGGGACGUUACUGACGCUGAGGCGCGAAAGCGUGGGGAGCGAACAGG